GACGAACGCUGGCGGCGUGCUUAACACAUGCAAGUCGAACGGAAAGGCCCCCACUUUUUUGGUGGGGGUGCUCGAGUGGCGAACGGGUGAGUAACACGUGGGUGAUCUGCCCUGUACUUCGGGAUAAGCUUGGGAAACUGGGUCUAAUACCGGAUAGGACCAUGGUUUAGUGUCUCAUGGUGGAAAAAUUAUUGUUUUGGUGCAGGAUGAGCUCGCGGCCUAUCAGCUUGUUGGUGGGGUAAUGGCCUACCAAGGCGUCGACGGGUAGCCGGCCUGAGAGGGUGGACGACCACAUUGGGACUGAGAUACGGCCCAGACUCCUACGGGAGGCAGCAGUGGGGAAUAUUGCACAAUGGGCGCAAGCCUGAUGCAGCGACGCCGCGUGGGGGAUGACGGCCUUCGGGUUGUAAACUCCUUUCGUUAGGGACGAAGCCGCACCUUUUUUGGGUGUGGUGACGGUACCUUUGUUAAGAAGCACCGGCUAACUACGUG
rnacentral:rRNA from 1 species